GUGAAAUUGUGUUUGUAUGUGUAAGGACUGCAAGGUGUGUUUCUGUGUAUGUAUGGGAUGCAUUGAAUGUGUGUAAGGGGUGCAUUGAGUGUGUGUAAUGAAUGCAUUGUGUGUUUCUGUGUGUGUAAGGGAUGCAUUGUGUGUAAUGGUUGCAUUGCUUGUGUAUGUGUGUCUGUGUGUUUUUCUGUGUGCAAGGGGUGCAUUGUGUGUAUGUGAUGAAUGUCAAUCUCUCCUCCCGCUCCAAUUUCCUUCUCCUCCUCCC